GGGCCGGUGGUCUAGCGGCUAUCAACAACCGUAUAUGACGCCGCCCUUACAAGGCGGAAAUCGCAAGUUCGAUAAUGAAUUGACACAAAACGAAACGAUGAGAAACUGAUUGACGAGCUUUGCUCGUCUGUUCCUUUCUUGUCAACGUGUUUUGUGUCCAUCGAAUGUCUUGCCCGGCCCA
rnacentral:tRNA from 1 species